GCCUGAUGCAUGCAGUAACCCUGCAUAUGUCCUCCACCACAGAUGAGUCCAGAGGUUAGACAGGUUCUGUGUAUUGGCUGAAUAUCUUCCAUCAAAGGAAGCCAGAAUGGAAUAAUUUCAAGCAUACAUGCAUUUCAACGCUUCGUUUUCCACUUCUUAUUUUCUGUUUCUUUAUCAAGAAUCCUUUUGUUAAAAAAUAACUUCUGCCUGGCUGUCUUAAAGAUGUCGUCUCUUCCCCCAUUCCUAAACUGCUACAGGUAGUUCCCAGACAUUCGAGAAGGGGAAGCGAUGAUUACUAGAACGUCUGCUUUUUACCACUUCUCUUAAUCAGAAAAAGAGAUCCAUGUAAGCAGUUCUGGUCCAAUGCCACAAUAUACACUUCUAAGAAAAUCACACAGGCUUACUUCUAAGACAGUAUCUCACAUCUGAUGAAGCUUGCUUCACAGUGCUUUAUCAUUACUUGAUGAUUCAAGAGAUGGCACUGGAAAGUCAAGAAAUAAGUCCACAGUGGAUGAGCAGCAGGGUCUUCAAACACAGACUUGAUAGCUACCAGUCCAAAAACCCCUAGCAGCUCAUGUACCGAAGAGACAUUGGACAAGAUGAUCUCUGCAACCCCUUCCAACUCUAUGAUUCUCAGAAUGUACAGCAAAUAGCAAUUAAAUCUCGGUGAUAAACAUCCAAAUGAUCGCUAGCG